AGCAAUCCAUCCGUGGUGGCGAGGAACGGCGGCGACACUGUACUGUGACGAUGAAGGGCGUGCCACGAUGCCGUGCGGCGAGAAUGGCAGUGCGACGCAAUAAUGGGUUGCGAGUGAAUGGUCGACGAAGGAAACGAAGUGGCAACUGCGAUUAAUGCUCGGCGGCGUGCGUGAUUAGUGAAGGAAGGCAGCCGAAAGGAUUCCAGCGGCAAACACGACCACGUACGGGGUCACGC
rnacentral:lncRNA from 1 species